UCACCCUCGUAUCUUGGAACUACAUACUGAGGCUGUCCAAUGACUCACACUAUAAUGCUAAAAAAUCAAGCCAUGUAGUCCUCGGUAUAUGGAUGGCCUCUCAAAAUAUGAUCAUCAUGAACUAUGUGAUCUCGGCAUGCAUUUCAAAUAAUGAUGUACUCUGUAUGUCUGAUACGUCAGCCAAUACGAGCUCUCCCUCGUC
rnacentral:lncRNA from 1 species